AGUCCGGCCUGCCCAGUGAAGGUUUUUAACGGCCGCGGUACUCUGACCGUGCAAAGGUAGCAUAAUCAUUUGCCUUAUAAUUGAAGGCUGGUAUGAAUGGUUUAACAAGAAUAUAGCUGUCUCUUUAUAAUUUGCUAGAAUUUUAUCUAUAAGUGAAGAAGCUUAUAUAAAAUUGAAGGACAAGAAGACCCUAUCGAGCUUUAAAAAAACUAAUAGACUAAAAGGUUAUUAAUAAAAAAUAAUCUAUUAGAUAUUUUAGUUGGGGCGACUAAGGAACAGAAAAAGCUUCCUCUAACAUAUCAGAAAACUAUGCAGGUAUUGAUCCAGAAAUUUUGAUUAAAGGAAAUAGUUACCGUAGGGAUAACAGCAUAAUCUUUUUUAAGAGCCCAUAUCGAAAAAAAGGUUUGUGACCUCGAUGUUGGACCAGAAUAUCCUAAAGAUGUAGCAGUCUUUAAGGGUUGGUCUGUUCGACCAUUAAAAUUCUACGUGAUCUGAGUUCAGACCGG
rnacentral:rRNA from 1 species